AUACGGAGGGUGCAAGCGUUAAUCGGAAUUACUGGGCGUAAAGCGCACGCAGGCGGUCUGUCAAGUCGGAUGUGAAAUCCCCGGGCUCAACCUGGGAACUGCAUUCGAAACUGGCAGGCUGGAGUCUUGUAGAGGGGGGUAGAAUUCCAGGUGUAGCGGUGAAAUGCGUAGAGAUCUGGAGGAAUACCGGUGGCGAAGGCGGCCCCCUGGACAAAGACUGACGCUCAGGUGCGAAAGCGUGGGGAGCAAACAGGAUUAGAUACCCUGGUAGUCCACGCCGUAAACGAUGUCGAUUUGGAGGUUGUGCCCUUGAGGUGUGGCUUCCGGAGCUAACGCGUUAAAUCGACCGCCUGGGGAGUACGGCCGCAAGGUUAAA
rnacentral:rRNA from 1 species